CGGAAGUACGUUGCACUUCCGGGUUGUGCUCACUGCUGUGAUUUGUCUGUUCUGGCGUCAGAUCGUCGGCUGGCAGGUCCAUCCCCCCUCCUUGCCGAGGUAACGCAGUAAUGCAAAGAGAGUAGCACUGAUAGCUGUCUGUGCACGUUGCAUGUUUCGAGCGUUUUCUCCUCUGGAUCGACUCAAACGCUGCCUGAACGUGAUCGGACUGAAGCUGCUGGAGAGUCUAGUUAGCCGGAGCAUUUCAAUCACCGGCUGCUGUUUGUUUUCACCUACACACGAUUUUACUACAGACUACUAUUUGAACUGUGGACUGUUUUGAGGCACACGAUCCAAACAUUCGCUGCCGCAGCUGAAGAGGCUUGCUGUGGGGCCACUGAGCAACUGUUGUUUGGCCACUGCUACGUGGGCCUGAGUUUUUAAUGGGUUAGCCCUCCCUACAUUAAUGGAGUGAAUUAAGUUGUUUAUUUCUCUUUUUGUUAUUUUUGUUUUCAACUUAGUUAAAAGUUACGUGUGUUAGUUUUCUUUUUUACUAUUGAGUUUAUUUCUUUAUUAGUAGUUUUUUUGAGUUUCUUUUGUUUUGUUUCAGUUGUUUUGUUCUAAUUAUGAUAAUUAUUAUUGGUAUUGUUUUGAUUUGACAAGUGUCUUUUGUUGUUUGGAAUUGAUAUCUUGUGUUAAGUUUCUUUUAUUUUGCUCUUUUUAUUUGUUUAUUUUCAAUAUUGUUUUGACUCUAGGUUGGGGAGUGAACCCCUUUUUUUUUUG